rnacentral:rRNA from 1 species
AUGCAAGGCCUCGCGGUGGCAUCCUCCAAGAUCGUGCUCGCGAUGAUGCUCCUGCUCGGCCUGGCGGGUGCUGCGGCCGCCCACGGCCGCAGGAGGCUCGUCUCCAGCACCUCCGACGAGCCGUGCAUGAAGAUGACGCUCUACUGGCACGACAUCCUCUACGACGGCGGCAACAACACGGCCAACGCGACGUCCGCGGGGGCGACCAAGCCGACGGCGCUGAGCACGGCCAGCUGGAAGAACGGCACCUUCUUCGGCCUGCUGGUGGUCAGGGCCGGCCCUGAGGAGGGGCAGGGGGGGCGGCCGCCCCGGGCCCCCAAAAUACAGGGGCCCCGUCAGGUACUAACAUGUACAAGGUUUUUCUGA